AACGAACGCUGGCGGCAUGCCUAACACAUGCAAGUCGAACGAGACCUUCGGGUCUAGUGGCGCACGGGUGCGUAACGCGUGGGAAUCUGCCCUUAGGUUCGGAAUAACUCAGGGAAACUUGAGCUAAUACCGGAUGAUGACUUCGGUCCAAAGAUUUAUCGCCUAAGGAUGAGCCCGCGUAGGAUUAGCUAGUUGGUGAGGUAAAGGCUCACCAAGGCUACGAUCCUUAGCGGUCUGAGAGGAUGAUCAGCCACACUGGACUGAGACACGGCCCAGACUCCUACGGGAGGCAGCAGUGGGGAAUAUUGGACAAUGGGCGAAAGCCUGAUCCAGCAAUGCCGCGUGAGUGAUGAAGGCCUUAGGGUUGUAAAGCUCUUUUACCCGGGAUGAUAA
rnacentral:rRNA from 1 species